rnacentral:pre_miRNA from 1 species
AGUGGUAUAGUUGCGUCAUAUGGUGGUCCCAUUCCAAGUUCUCCAAGGAAUCUCCAUACUGCUUUUCAGACUGGUUGCACCAAUUUGCAGUCCCACCAACAAU